AGUGAACGCUGGCGGUAGGCCUAACACAUGCAAGUCGAACGGCAGCACAGUAAGAGCUUGCUCUUACGGGUGGCGAGUGGCGGACGGGUGAGGAAUACAUCGGAAUCUACUUUUUCGUGGGGGAUAACGUAGGGAAACUUACGCUAAUACCGCAUACGACCUACGGGUGGAAGCAGGGGAUCUUCGGACCUUGCGCGAUUGAAUGAGCCGAUGUCGGAUUAGCUAGUUGGCGGGGUAAAGGCCCACCAAGGCGACGAUCCGUAGCUGGUCUGAGAGGAUGAUCAGCCACACUGGAACUGAGACACGUUCCAGACUCCUACGGGAGGCAGCAGUGGGGAAUAUUGGACAAUGGGCGCAAGCCUGAUCCAGCCAUACCGCGUGGGUGAAGAAGGCCUUCGGGUUGUAAAGCCCUUUUGUUGGGAAAGAAAAGCAGCAGGUUAAUACCCCGCUGUUCUGACGGUACCCAAAGAAUAAGCACCGGCUAACUUCGUG
rnacentral:rRNA from 1 species